GGAAUUGAAGCCCAGUGGUUAAGACAUUGGGCUACCAAUUGGAAGGUUGUGAGUUCAAACCCCACUGCUGCCA